rnacentral:lncRNA from 1 species
GAAUGUAUCCCCGGUAUAAGAAACGGCAGGCUCUGAGCAGCCGCUCACUCAGUGGAGCGCAGAGAGACGAGGCGGACUAUGAAUCUUAUCUUGCAGUUUGCAAUGAUUUUCGGGAUGAUUCUCCGUGUUUAUGGAGGAUCUGUAAGGGGGAUUGUGGGAGAUCCGGUUCAGUUCCCUGUAAACUGUCCGAUGAACGGGAGAGCCGAUCUGUACCGAGAGGACGGGACGGUGAACCCGCCGCUUGUGGCUGCGCGUCGGGACGGAGUUUGCACAUCUGGUGAUGGAUUCACUGACCGGCUGGAUCUAAACUCCUGCUUCACCUUCCGUCGCUCACUGUACACAGAUGCCGGUCUGUAUGAGAUCAGAUGUGGCAGCGGCAGAGAACACAUUCAGCUGGAUGUGGUUGUGGCUUCUGAAUCAUCAGUCAGUGAGGGAGAACAGGUGACGCUCAGGUGCUACUAUAAGACUGCAGGAGGACAGGUGGAGGCUCUGAGGUGGGACAAGAAUGGAGUCAUGGUGCUGGAGGUGGAUCUGUCCACCGGAGAGAUUACAAACGGAACCGGGUUUGAGGGAAAGAGACUUUCACCUGCUGGUGCCACAGACGGAGACUUUUCACUGACGUGGGAUCAGGCUCAGGUCCAGGAUGAGGGCGAUUACUUCUGCUCCGUCCGCAGUAAAGGCGUCAGGAUGGGGUGGGGGAACCCUGCUGCUGCGAGGCUGAAGGUCAUCAAGAAACACCUGGACCCGACGACCCCCCGCCCACCUCAGAAUGGAACCACUGGAGAAAGGAUGGAGACUUGGACCACUGUCAUCAUUACAGCAGCUGUGACGUCUCUGCCCUGGGCUCUUCUUUGCCUCUUUUUAGUUUGGUGGCUGAAGUUCCGAAGACCAAAUGUGUCUCCUGGACCUGAUGGUGGACGACCCCCAACAGAUGUGGAUAUUAAACUUCUGCCCCAUGGGAAUUCUGCUGGUCCUCAAACCAACGGGGGUCCUCAAGUCCAGAAUUUGAUUCAAUAGAAAAAAUAAAAUAAAUGGAAUCAACAGCCAACACUUAAAAACAUCAAGUACAGACUGCAUUUUGAUGCAUGUUUGAGAAAUUAGACACUUGCUUCUGGAACAAUAUCCCAAUUUUUAAAAUUUGUCUCAGAAGACAGACCUCAUCUAUCUACGACUCCACAGACUCUGUCAGCACAGUUUUCCCCAUCAGACUAAAGAACCAUCGGGGAGGAUGUUGUGUUGAGCAUUGAUGAUGAUCAGUGGAGCAACGUGCUUGAUCCAGUCCCUUCUUCUGUACUCCACUGUUCACGAUAUCUGUAACAGAUGUGGCCAGGUCCCUGUAAACCUCAUACAUGUGUUUUGAUGUCGUGCCCAGAAAUGAUGAUGAACUUUUGGCCCAGAAUAUUUGAUACAUUCCAUAAAGAUUUUGAUGUGAUAAUAACUCCAAAUCUGCCAUUUUGGUAAAGGCUAGGAUGUUUUAAUGUAUCUUGACAUGUAUCCUCUCCAUUCACUCGAUGCACUCGUACCCCCAUUCCGUUCCCUUGCGCAAAGCACUCGUACCCUGUUCCCGUUCACGUCCAUUGGCUCAAAGCACUCGUACCCUGUUCCCGUUCACGUCCAUUGGCUCAAAGCACUCGUACCCUGUUCCCGUUCACGUCCAUUGGCUCAAAGCACUCGUACCCUGUUCCCGUUUACGUCCAUUGGCUCAAAGCACUCGUACCCUGUUCCCGUUCCCGUCCAUUGGCUCAAAGCACUCGUACCCUGUUCCCGUUCCCGUCCAUUGGCUCAAAGCACUCGUACCCUGUUCCCGUUUACGUCCAUUGGCUCAAAGCACUCGUACCCCCUUCCCAUUCCCUCGUUCAAAGCACUCGUACCCUGUUCCCUCGCGCAAAGCACUCGUAUGUCCUUCCCGUUCCCUCAACACGCUACCCUCUCAGAUGCUCCAUCCACUCCCAAGACACCCUCUGAUUGAACACCAAACUGAGCAAAAUCAACUGGCUCAGCCUCUCUCAUCCCAUCUUCCUCGUCUGACUGAACUCGUACCUAAGCCCUCACAAACCUAUCCUCCCAUAUUUACUCUGGAGACAUGUCCUCGGCUGCGGUCCUCUCAAACCCACAGCCACAUCUGCGUAUCGACCAAAGCAUAUUUUCACAUAAUCCAGUAAUACCUGGUACACUGACCAAGACAACCCCCAUUCUGAGCCUCAACCUCCCUGGUUCCCAGGUGGUCUAGCCAAUCUGCACCCCACUCAAACCCCCUCUUCAUCGACCUCAACCCCCCUUUCCUAUCCCUUCCAAUCUUCUACCAAUUUAAAUAAACUACCAUAAUGUUAAAUUGUGGUGUGGUCUAUGUGUGGUGACUCAUGAGUCUGCAUCAGGGAACGUGUCUUUACAACACUGCAGGUGUUUGUUUCUGUUAGUUCACCACCUGUAGAGUUCAGCUCAGUGAUCAUCCCACUCACAGACACAAGCUGCUGGAAGAGAACACCACCUGUUUCAUGCUGUUCAUGGUGUCGUUUAACUGCAGGAUGGCUGAUUUUACAAUCCACCGGCCUUCAGUAGUGAAAGCUGAGAGGAGGAACGCUUUUGUAACAAUUAGUCUGUGAAAACAAAUUCCUGCAGGUGUGUGUCUGCCAUUAUUUACACAUGUUAUAUUGUGUCUGGGAUCACUAGUGACAGGGUUAACUUAAGGCGAGACAGCAAGGGUGAAUCUUGACACAUAACUCUGAAACGAUAGCACAUAAAAACUUGAACCUGAACUUGAAGUUAAGCCCAAAAACACAACAAAAGUAGUUGUCAGCAGUGUUCACCUGCUGAAGCUAACAGGUGUGUCUGUACGCAGUGUAUAUGUGACACACAAUAUACUUGACAUUUCGAUUUCCAGCAGGAGACUGAGAGACUUUACUGCUCCUUCUCCUUAUUGUCUUGGUGCAUAAUUCCUCUGGAAAACAUGUUUUUUUUUUGUCUUAUUAUUGCAUCAGUGUCAAUGGAAUGCUGCACUGCAACAUCUAUGAAUGAAUAAAUAUUACUGUCACAUUUCCUGCUAGCUGGGAAACCCUGUGAUGGCUCUCAGUUCGUAUCAUGUUUCAUUAGGAUGACUGAGAUAGUUUGUGAAGGAGGAGCUCAGUGAAUAAAUAGUUGUCUGGGAUUUCCCUUCCUGCACAACACAGACUGUUACAUGUGGGCCUGUACUGUGUUUUUUCUCUCUGCCUGUUUUUUUUUUUUUUUACAGUUUCUGGCAUGAGCUGCUGUUGGCCAAUGGAAUGCUGCACUGCAACAUCUAUGAAUGAAUAAAUAUUACUGUCACAUUUCCUGCAAGCUGGGAAACACCUUUUAUCAGCUGUAUGAAUCAGACCGAGGAAACACCCAGUGCUGGCAUCAGCUAUGUGACUGUCAUGUAAUCAUGAGGCCUGUUUGUAGAAGCAGAGUGGCUGUGUGCAUGCUGUGCCACCCACAUGUAGCAGUGAGUGUCUUUUUUGUUUAAAUAAAAGAGCACAUUUCUUUUCAGUUUUCUCCAUAUAUCCCUGACAUUGAGUUUUGAAACCAAUGGUUGUUUGUAUAUGUAUAACUUCCAGUGUUGAUGCUCAAUAAGAAAAUCCGUUGAAAGAAAAAGAACAAACUGUGUCAUUCUGUAAUAAACCAGGAACUACAGUUAUGAUGCUUUGAGGUAUCUCAACUGGAGAAAUCCUCUGAUACUGCAGGACUCCCCUUGUUUGGUAUAUUCAGUCUGACCAACAGAUGUUAACAGAUGUUUGGAGGUUAUUUGCUGCAGAAGCUUUCAUUAUUGUUAAAAAGCUCUUAUUAUUUUCACUUAUCACAUCUAUUCUAAUACAUGAACCGGCUACAUUUGGUUGCAUUCCGUCUAUUAUUUUGUAUUACAGACACAAAGUUUAAUCUGUCGUCAUAAUAAAUCUCCAUCAGAGAGAAGCUGCACAGCUCUGUUAGUAAUUCAGGAGGUGAAAUACUGUGAAAUGCUGCUUGUGAUGGUUCUUCAAAGCUAUAAUGAGCCACAGAACAAUGAGUACCAUAUGUUCACUGGCUGCUGCAUGAGUCCAGAUGUGUGUGAAGCUUCCAGUUAAUUCUCUCAGAAUCAGCUUUAUUGUCCAAAUAUGUGAACACACAAGAGGAAUCUCUCAUUUCAGGUGAUAACUGUGUGUGGAGGAUCAUGUAUGGAAUUAAAUUUGUGCCAAAAGAAACAAACAAAACGUUUUAAAUGUCAAACAAAAAUAGGAAUUUGAGAGAACAUAGAACUCAUUUCAAAAAUAAAACUUGGAACUUGCAAUCAAAUAAUUUGUCAAUUAGUGUAAAAUAUUGGUCUUUUACUCUUCUAAUAAUGCAUUAUUUUGUUUACGGUUCCCUCUGCUUCUCUCUCUCCGCUCUUAUUUGUGCUCUCUGACUUUUUGCUUCUGCUCCCAGUCCCUGCCAGCUGUGUACAGACGCUGAAAUCAGGCUUCGUGACUGCCUUCAGUAACUCUGCUGCUGAUUCAUACUCCAGCUAUUGUUCCACACUGAUUGAUGUUUUCAUCCUUCAAAGGUCGACUGGCAGGCAGUGAGUGAUAAGCUGAUCAAGGUGAACACAGGGUGUGGAGUUUAUUCUUCUGUCACACCAACAAUGUUUUGUCACCACAAACAAUGCUGAAGAUGGAUUUCCCCCAGAAAAUACAGACAAAAAACACACUAACUUCUGCCAACAUAUGAUUUUAGUGUGCAAUGUCGACCAGACUACUAAAGAGACAAGAGGAGCAGUCCAGAGGGUUUAUUACCUGACUGUGUGUUCAGAGGCUUUCUGACAUUAACAUGCAAGAGACGAGGCAGAAGCAGGAAACACAUCUUCCUCGGUGGAGAGAGCGACCUGAGAAACCAUAUUUCGAAACAAUAGAAUUUGUUGGUGGAGAAGGAGGACGUGUUUGUCUCACUGACAGAUUAAUGACACCGACACACUCACUGUAGAGGCCCGGGGCAGUUUGUUUUAGAGGAGUGGGACAAAGGAGGACAAGUUUAGCCUUUCUCUCUCUCUC